UACGAAGGGGGCGAGCGUUGUUCGGAAUUACUGGGCGUAAAGGCGCGUAGGCGGCCGAUCAAGUCAGAUGUGAAAGUCCUGGGCUUAACCUGGGGACUGCAUUUGAUACUGAUUGGCUUGAAUGCAGGAGAGGAUAGCGGAAUUCCCAGUGUAGAGGUGAAAUUCGUAGAUAUUGGGAAGAACACCGGUGGCGAAGGCGGCUAUCUGGACUGUGAUUGACGCUGGAGGCGCGAAAGCGUGGGGAGCAAACAGG
rnacentral:rRNA from 1 species